rnacentral:rRNA from 1 species
GAUGAACGCUGGCGGCGUGCCUAAUACAUGCAAGUCGAGCGAACGGACGAGAAGCUUGCUUCUCUGAUGUUAGCGGCGGACGGGUGAGUAACACGUGGAUAACCUACCUAUAAGACUGGGAUAACUUCGGGAAACCGGAGCUAAUACCGGAUGAUAUUUUGAACCGCAUGGUUCAAAAGUGAAAGACGGUCUUGCUGUCACUUAUAGAUGGAUCCGCGCUGCAUUAGCUAGUUGGUAAGGUAACGGCUUACCAAGGCAACGAUGCAUAGCCGACCUGAGAGGGUGAUCGGCCACACUGGAACUGAGACACGGUCCAGACUCCUACGGGAGGCAGCAGUAGGGAAUCUUCCGCAAUGGGCGAAAGCCUGACGGAGCAACGCCGCGUGAGUGAUGAAGGUCUUCGGAUCGUAAAACUCUGUUAUUAGGGAAGAACAUAUGUGUAAGUAACUGUACACAUCUUGACGGUACCUAAUCAGAAAGCCACGGCUAACUACGUG